ACUGCUCAGUAACACGUGGACAACCUGCCCUUAGGUUGGGUAUAAACCCGGGAAACUGGGUAUAAUACCCGAUAGGUCUCGAUUGCUGGAAUGCAUCGAGAUUUAAAGCUCCGGCGCCUAAGGAUGGGUCUGCGGCCUAUCAGGUAGUAGUGGGUGUAGCGUACCUACUAGCCUACGACGGGUACGGGUUGUGAGAGCAAGAGCCCGGAGAUGGAUUCUGAGACACGAAUCCAGGCCCUACGGGGUGCAGCAGGCGCGAAAACUUUACAAUGCUGGCAACAGCGAUAAGGGAACCUCGAGUGCCAGGUUACAAAUCUGGCUGUCGAGAUGCCUAAAAAGCAUUUCAUAGCAAGGGCCGGGCAAGACCGGUGCCAGCCGCCGCGGUAACACCGGCGGCUCGAGUGGUAACCGUUAUUAUUGGGUCUAAAGGGUCUGUAGCCGGCCGGAUAAGUCUCUUGAGAAAUCUGGCAGCUUAACUGUCAGGCUUUCAGGAGAUACUGUCUGGCUCGAGGCCGGGAGAGGUGAGAGGUACUUCAGGGGUAGGGGUGAAAUCUUGUAAUCCUUGAAGGACCACCAGUGGCGAAGGCGUCUCACCAGAACGGACCUGACGGCAAGGGACGAAAGCUAGGGGCACGAACCGGAUUAGAUACCCGGGUAGUCCUAGCCGUAAACGAUACUCGCUAGGUGUCGGCCACGGUGCGACCGUUGUCGGUGCCGUAGGGAAGCCGUGAAGCGAGCCACCUGGGAAGUACGGCCGCAAGGCUGAAACUUAAAGGAAUUGGCGGGGGAGCACCACAACGGGUGGAGCUUGCGGUUUAAUUGGAUUCAACGCCGGAAAUCUUACCGGGACCGACAGCAAUAUGAAGGCCAGGCUGAAGACUUUGCCGGAUUAGCUGAGAGGUGGUGCAUGGCCGUCGUCAGUUCGUACUGUGAAGCAUCCUGUUAAGUCAGGCAACGAGCGAGACCCCUACC
rnacentral:rRNA from 1 species